rnacentral:rRNA from 1 species
UGGGGAAUAUUGCACAAUGGGCGAAAGCCUGAUGCAGCAACGCCGCGUGCGGGAUGACGGCCUUCGGGUUGUAAACCGCUUUCAGCAGGGACGAAGGUUUUCUGACGGUACCUGCAGAAGAAGCACCGGCUAACUACGUGCCAGCAGCCGCGGUGAUACGUAGGGUGCGAGCGUUGUCCGGAAUUAUUGGGCGUAAAGAGCUUGUAGGCGGUCCGUUGCGUCGGAAGUGAAAACUCAGGGCUUAACCCUGAGCCUGCUUUCGAUACGGGCGGACUUGAGGGAUGUAGGGAGAACGGAAUUCCUGGUGGAGCGGUGGAAUGCGCAGAUAUCAGGAGGAACACCAGUGGCGAAGGCGGUUCUCUGGACAUUUCCUGACGCUGAGAAGCGAAAGCGUGGGGAGCAAACAGGCUUGGAUACCCUGGUAGUCCACGCCGUAAACGGUGGGCACUAGGUGUGGGACCCAUUCCACGGGUUCCGUGCCGUAGCUAACGCAUUAAGUGCCCCGCCUGGGGAGUACGGCCGCAAGGCUAAAACUUAAAGGAAUUGACGGGGUCAUAGCUGUUU